AACGAACGCUGGCGGCAUGCCUAACACAUGCAAGUCGAACGAGACCUUCGGGUCUAGUGGCGCACGGGUGCGUAACGCGUGGGAACCUGCCCUUAGGUUCGGAAUAACUCCCCGAAAGGGGUGCUAAUACCGGAUAAUGUCUUCGGACCAAAGAUUUAUCGCCUUUGGAUGGGCCCGCGUUGGAUUAGCUAGUUGGUAGGGUAAAAGCCUACCAAGGCGACGAUCCAUAGCUGGUCUGAGAGGAUGAUCAGCCACACUGGGACUGAGACACGGCCCAGACAAGGACGGGAGGAAGAAGGGGGGAAUAUUGAAGAAGGGGGGAGAGUCGGAACCAGCAAUGACGCGUGAGGGAAGAAGGACUAAGGGUUGAAAAGCCCCUUGACACGGGAGGAAAAUGACAGGAGAGAGAAAAUAAGAACAGGAUACCUCCGUG
rnacentral:rRNA from 1 species